UAUGACCAUAUCACGUCGAAUCACCAGUUCUCGCCCGAUCACCUAAGUUAAGCAAACUUCAAUCUGGUUAGUAUUUAGAUGGGUGACCGAUGGGGAAUACCAGAUGGUGUAAG